UACGGAGGGUCCAAGCGUUAUCCGGAAUCAUUGGGUUUAAAGGGUCCGUAGGCGGGUCUGUAAGUCAGCGGUGAAAUCUCCCGGCUCAACCGGGAAAUGGCCAUUGAUACUGCAGGUCUUGAAUUAUUGGGAAGUAACUAGAAUAUGUAGUGUAGCGGUGAAAUGCUUAGAGAUUACAUGGAAUACCAAUUGCGAAGGCAGGUUACUAUCAAUAUAUUGACGCUGAUGGACGAAAGCGUGGGUAGCGAACAGG
rnacentral:rRNA from 1 species